rnacentral:rRNA from 1 species
GACGAACGCUGGCGGCGUGCCUAAUACAUGCCAGUAGAACGCUGAAGAGAGGAGCUUGCUCUUCUUGGAUGAGUUGCGAACGGGUGAGUAACGCGUAGGUAACCUGCCUUGUAGCGGGGGAUAACUAUUGGAAACGAUAGCUAAUACCGCAUAACAAUGGAUGACACAUGUCAUUUAUUUGAAAGGGGCAAUUGCUCCACUACAAGAUGGACCUGCGUUGUAUUAGCUAGUAGGUGAGGUAAUGGCUCACCUAGGCGACGAUACAUAGCCGACCUGAGAGGGUGAUCGGCCACACUGGGACUGAGACACGGCCCAGACUCCUACGGGAGGCAGCAGUAGGGAAUCUUCGGCAAUGGGGGCAACCCUGACCGAGCAACGCCGCGUGAGUGAAGAAGGUUUUCGGAUCGUAAAGCUCUGUUGUAAGUCAAGAACGGGUGUGAGAGUGGAAAGUUCACACUGUGACGGUAGCUUACCAGAAAGGGACGGCUAACUACGUG